UGAUAGAUAAGGGAUUAUGCGUGUGUAUAAAGGAUGAAGGGGAUUUGUUGUUAGUGUCAUUCCUGUUGUGUGUGGGUGAUUUGUCACAUGCCACGUCAUGUGGUGACAUGGAUAAAUUUGGUACAAAUGUAAUUUUUGUCUCCGUUUGUGGUUGAGUAAGCUCCACGGGGUGAAUGGAAUUAGGGUUGCGUGGCUUUGUCGCGGUGUCAGGAUUGGUGAGAGAAUUGCGUGUACUGUUCAUAGUGUUGAUGUCGACUCCAUUGCUUUUUUUGGUUUCUUCGCUAGUGUUGACCAUUGAUUUGAUCUCUUUGAUGAUGAAAUGGGUAUGAAGUUUGAGUGGUUUGCCGGGUUUGUGUUUUCGUCUUCAAGUGAUAUAUUAUUGAAAGCGUUGCAUUCAAAUUCCAGAGGGGUGCUGUUGUUGUUAGAGGAGAUUAGUUUUUCCUUAAAGCUAUCUUUUCCAUUUGUCCCUUCCUUUGGUUUGUUCACGCUGCGAAGUAAUUCAGGCUAUCAUCAUUUAUUACUGUAUCUUGCGUUAUUUUCAUUGUCGAUUGUGUGUGAUUUAUUGUUCUUCCCUUCUCUCUCUAUUUUUUAGAGAGAAGGCAGAGCUUUCCAAAAUGUUAACGAUGUUAAUUAAUCUUGUCUUA